rnacentral:rRNA from 1 species
ACGUAGGGUGCGAGCGUUAAUCGGAAUUACUGGGCGUAAAGCGUGCGCAGGCGGUUAUAUAAGUCAGAUGUGAAAUCCCCGGGCUCAACCUGGGAACUGCAUUUGAGACUGUAUGGCUAGAGUGUGGCAGAGGGGGGUGGAAUUCCACGUGUAGCAGUGAAAUGCGUAGAGAUGUGGAGGAACACCGAUGGCGAAGGCAGCCCCCUGGGCCAAUACUGACGCUCAUGCACGAAAGCGUGGGGAGCAAACAGGAUUAGAUACCCUGGUAGUCCACGCCCUAAACGAUGUCAACUAGGUGUUGGAAGGGUUAAACCUUUUAGUGCCGUAGCUAACGCGUGAAGUUGACCGCCUGGGGAGUACGGCCGCAAGGCUA